rnacentral:rRNA from 1 species
GAUGAACGCUGGCGGCGUGCCUAAUACAUGCAAGUCGAGCGAACAGACGAGGAGCUUGCUCCUCUGACGUUAGCGGCGGACGGGUGAGUAACACGUGGAUAACCUACCUAUAAGACUGGGAUAACUUCGGGAAACCGGAGCUAAUACCGGAUAAUAUAUUGAACCGCAUGGUUCAAUAGUGAAAGACGGUUUUGCGGUCACUUAUAGAUGGAUCCGCGCCGCAUUAGCUAGUUGGGAAGGGAACGGCUUACCAAGGCAACGAUGCGUAGCCGACCUGAGAGGGUGAUCGGCCACACUGGAACUGAGACACGGUCCAGACUCCUACGGGAGGCAGCAGUAGGGAAUCUUCCGCAAUGGGCGAAAGCUUGACGGAGCAACGCCGCGUGAGUGAUGAAGGUCUUCGGAUCGUAAAACUCUGUUAUUAGGGAAGAACAAAUGUGUAAGUAACUAUGCACGUCUUGACGGUACCUAAUCAGAAAGCCACGGCUAACUACGUG